GUCAGAUAGUUUAGUAAUGUUAUAGUCAAUCAGUGUUAUAGGUCAGAUCAGUUUAGUAAUGUUAUAGUCAAUCAGUGUUAUAGGUCAGAUCAGUUUAGUAAUGUCAUAGUCACAAUCAGUGUUUUAGGUCAGAUCAGUUUAGUAAUGUUAUGGUCAAUCAGUGUUAUAGGUCAGAUCAGUUUAGUAAUGUUAUAGUCAAUCAGUGUUAAAGGUGAGAUAAGUUUAGUAAUGUCAUAGUCACAAUCAGUGUUUCAGGUCAGAUCAGUUUAGUAAUGUCAUAGUUACAAUCAGUUU
rnacentral:lncRNA from 1 species